rnacentral:rRNA from 1 species
UGGGGAAUUUUGGACAAUGGGCGCAAGCCUGAUCCAGCCAUGCCGCGUGCGGGAAGAAGGCCUUCGGGUUGUAAACCGCUUUUGUCAGGGAAGAAAUCUUCUGAGUUAAUACCUCGGGAGGAUGACGGUACCUGAAGAGUAAGCACCGGCUAACUACGUGCCAGCAGCCGCGGUAAUACGUAGGGUGCAAGCGUUAAUCGGAAUUACUGGGCGUAAAGCGUGCGCAGGCGGUUUUGUAAGACAGAGGUGAAAUCCCCGGGCUCAACCUGGGAACUGCCUUUGUGACUGCAAGGCUUGAGUGCGGCAGAGGGGGGAUGGAAUUCCGCGUGUAGCAGUGAAAUGCGUAGGUAUGCGGAGGAAACACCGAUGGCGAAGGCAAUCCCCUGGGCCUGCACUGACGCUCAUGCACGAAAGCGUGGGGAGCAAAACAGGAUUAGAUACCCUGGUAGUCCACGCCCUAAAACGAUGUCAACUGGUUGUUGGGAAGGUUCCUUCUCAGUAACGUAGCUAACGCGUGAAGUUGACCGCCUGGGGAGUACGGCCGCAAGGUUG